rnacentral:ncRNA from 2 species
CGAAUCCGCGCGGGAGAGACCCGGAGCACGACUCCGGGCGCCGAAGGAGCAAGUUCCUCCCUUGAAUCUCUCAGGCCCCGUACCGCGUGCGAUGA